GGAGAAACUGGAAGCUAAUAUGGAAACCAGAAUUAAACAGGCUCAGAAGCUGAGUGCAAAGUUAGAUAGAGAGAGACUCCAGCUCACUGAAGCAAUAGACCUAAAGAUGUUUGAGCAGUGGUGUAUUGAAAGACGGUUGAGAUAUCUCAAAAGCCAGAAAGAGGAGAUCGAAUCCUGUCUAAAAUACAAGAGAAACAAAAUGGAUCUGCUGCAGCAAUUUCUGGAGAUCGAAGCUUCGUUUUUCGGACAAUGCUUACCAAAAGAAACCAAUCAAGUCAUGCUUGUCAGAACAAGAGAUGAAUAAACAUAAAUUGCAUUUCCGGAUGGUACAUGGAAGCAAGAGUUUCGCCAAGGAAAAGCAGCUUUUAAAAGAGAUCAAAGUGAGUCAGCAGGAGGAUAGUUUUGGUUCAUUUUGGAAUCAAUUGGAAGAACGUCUUCGUGAUUCUGAAAAUACUCGCUGGUGGCAUGACUGGCAUCAAUUGAAGCAGACCUGGUGGUUGCAUCAC